rnacentral:rRNA from 1 species
GGCUGGGGGUGAAAGGCCAAUCAAACCGGGAGAUAGCUGGUUCUCCCCGAAAGCUAUAUAGGUAGCGCCUCGUGAAUUCAUCUUCGGGGGUAGAGCACUGUUUCGGCUAGGGGGUCAUCCCGACUGACCAACCCGAUGCAAACUACGAAUACCGAAGAAUGUUAUCACGGGAGACACCCGGCGGGUGCUACCGUCCGUCGGGACGAGGGACACUACCCAGACCGCCAG